rnacentral:rRNA from 1 species
GUCUAUAGCCAUGCCACUCUGAACACCUGAUCUUGUCUGAUCUCAGAAGCUAAGCAGGGUCAGACCUGGUUAGUACCUGGAUGGGAGACCACCUAGGAAUACCAGGUGGUGUAGGCA